CAUCACUUGUACAUAAAGUGAAAACAAUUAGAUGAUGCAUGAUCACAGCUGUGAGGUUAACGUUUCAGCACCCAUCACGACGUAGGGCCUCCGCUUUAAAGCAAAUAUGGAGCAUCAACAACGUAAAUCAACGGUGAGCAUAAAGAGGAAUGCAGCGAAAUAGAGAAUCCGGGUUAUGCUGCUUGCAGCAGUGGCUGGUAUGAACAAGAUUGUGAAAUGAGAUGUAGCAGUAAUUGUAUAACACCUCAACUGUGUGAUCACGUGACCGUAUCGUGUGUUGGAUGAUGUGCUACUGGAUGGAUGAAUGGUACAUGUGAUUCUGGUUGGUAUUUCAUCCUAAUUCUUUACGUUUUUGUAUUUCAUUUAGUUCAUAUCUAUAUUUAAGUGGAUACAACAUACUAUGGAUAUCAAAUAUUUAUGAUAAAUCACUUCAUUAAUUUGCCUAUAUUACCUUCUCUGAUGAUGUAGAAUUUAAUCAUGAUCUUCAUAUACUAACAUACAGCUGAAAUGUAUUAAAACAACAUCUUUUCAGCACAACCAUUGUCAUCUUUAAUGUUUUCUUCUUUAAAGCAGUUUUUCCCUUAUUCUUGCCCUUCUUAGUUUUCAUAUAUUUGUAUUGACUUUAUUGAAUCAAAUCACUUGUCCCUGAAUGCAUAUGGGUGUGUGUAUGUAUGUAGAUGUAUUUGUGUAUUUAUAUGUAUUGUAAUUUGUGUUCUGUGCUUGGUAUAUUUUGAAUUACAUAUAAUUUAGAAAUGUACAAUACACUAAUCAACUCAACUUCAACUUAUUAUUGUUAUCAUUAUCAUCAGUAUCAAUUUACCAAUUAGCCUGUGGAAGUCUUGUUUUAAUUCCUUAUUGAUAAGUGAGGAAUUCCUUUGGUAUUUCAAUUAUUUUCUAUUAAGGGAAUGUUUCAUUAUUUUUCGCAGCAAAAGCAACGUCUUGAUAAUAUUUCA